rnacentral:lncRNA from 1 species
CAGAGCUGUGACUGUUGUAAAACUCCUGCCACCCACAGCUCAGCAAAAUCUCAGGCGCCAUUGUAGAGCAGCCAUUGAAUCAACACAGAGAGGCGGCAGCGUGCCUCUGACUCACCAGGAACCCAGCUCCUCACUGUUCCGCCUGCAAACAGACCUCAAAGCUCCUUGUUCCUUGCUUUGUGCUGCUGAACGCAAGUGGGACCCAGGGAAGGCCACAGAUGCUCUCUGGAAGUACAAUAGCUAUUUUCCUGGUCUGCAUCUGAGGUAGACACGGAAGGAUCAGAGGGACUCAGGGCAUUGCCCUCAGGGGAGUUCUUGGUGCUCAAUGCCUGCAUACCUCACUUAUGCCAUGAAGGUAUUCCUUAAAGGAAAUGAUAAAAAUAUCACUUUGAUGAGGAAUCGAAAAUUAACCAACUCGAUAAGUGGAAUACCCAGGAUUCCCCAAACGGACUGGCUUCAAGAAGGAAAAGAUGGGUGUUGGAAAAUUUAAUGGACUGAAGAAAUGGCAGCAUUUGUUUUUGAAUGAGAAUAAAAUAAGUGAGUUGCUGUGAAAUACAGUUCUUUAUUAAGCGAAAAAAUUGCCUGGGUAUCAAAACCUUUUUACAGACAACACAGUUUAUAAAAGAGUCUCUUUUGAAUGCUGCAGAAAUUAUGUGUCCAGAGCCUCAACAGGCAUUUGUAAAUGUUAGUCUAAUGAGCAACUUUGUAGCUUGGUAUGUUAAAAAUAAGAUUGAGAACUUUCAGGACAAGUUAAUUUAUGGGUGGCAUUUUCUCUUGCAGCAAAUGAGAACACAGAUAUAGAGAAUAGCACACUGUUAACUAUAUUUAUUUGUGGUGUGGUGAGAAUUUUGAAGGGGUCAAGGAACUUCAGAAACAGGAGCCCAUGAAAGGCAAAACAUCAGGAAAUGGCUGACUCUGUGUUAUGAAAAAGGUCUCAGACCAUUUGGAUGUAGAAUGCAUUGGUCAAAGUCACCAAGUGUUAUAGAUGGAGCUCUCAGGAUGUGUGGAGUUAAUGUCAGGCCGGUCAAGUAACAGCCCAUAGGUGGCACUAUUUUGUAGGUACACUAUCCCCAAGUCCAUUAAUUUCCUCAUUCAUCAGAAAUUGCUUUGGGCACAAAGCUAAAAUGGGAGAAGCCAUGGAUUCAGUAAUUAAUACCACUAAUUGGCUAUUCUUCUAUGUCUCUGAGCAAAAUCAGGUCAACAUUUGCUUAAUGAAUUUGCUGGCUUACUUGCACUGUGGUGCAGAAGAGAUUUUUUUAACUGUUAAUGUCAUCACAGGGGAUAGCCCUAUCUCUGCUUAGCAGUGAAGAUUAGCCCAAAGUCCUGAGCUUUUUGCUGACUCUACAACUUAUCUAUAUUUUUUGACUAUUUUUCUAUAGGUACAGUCACAAGUAUUGCACAAAUGUUUCAUUUGUGAGCUUCUCUCCGUCCAGAUAAAGGUAACUUUUUGGGAAAUUCAUUUGUAAAGGAAUAAUUUCAUCUACUUUCCUACAUUGAGAUCAGUUUCCAGAAAUGAAGAUACCAUAAAAUUUAUUCUCUAAAACUAUGCCAUUGAAAACCAAAUUCUAAAAAUGUUCUCAGACUUCAAACUUUAUGAAAAUGAAAUAACAUUAUUUAGCUUACCUUUCUUAUUUUUUGAUAGCACCUAUGUUGGGCUAUGAUUAGACAUUAUCAAACUGUAAUGCAAAAACGGUACUGAAGUCUAUUUGAAGUCUAAGUAGAGCAAUGCUGAAAGCCAGGAUUGUACACACAUUUUGGAAGAGGUGAUUCUAGAUAUAAGAACCAUUUACAGUAGUAAUUCCAUCCAUGUUAGGAAGAGCCUAUGUUUAGGCUCGACUCCAAAAUUAAUCUGAAAAAAACCAACCACCCUCCUGGCAUAAGUGUUUAAGGCUGCAUUCUGUACAUCACAGUGAAAAAUACAGGGCCUGAAACAUGUUUUGGUACAGAAAAAAAGAUGUGAGGUUUCUGAUUCCAAGUCAAAGCAGUAAUGAAUUAUGAAAUAAAAAUAUAGCAAUAAUUGUUUUCCUUUUUCAAUGUUUUUAAAAUUUAAUAUAAAAUAGCAUAUGAAUAUUAUAUAUAUUUACAUUAUUACAUACCUAUUCCAUAAUUUAAUAAGAAUAAAGUGUUUGCUUCCAUUUCUUGGAGUUUGUCAUUCUUAUAUUCAGCUUAUUUUGUUCAUGAUGACUACCUCCCUGGCCCUUCGACACUUGCUACUCAUUUGUUUUCUACCUACUUGUUUAUAGAGUUUAUAUCUUUUACUAGAGAGUAAGCUGUCUGAGGGCUACACUUUUAUUUCAUUCGUCUUUGCAUCUCCACAGCCCUAGAAUAGAAGUGGGUUCUUAGUACAUGGUCAGUAAGUGUUGGUUAAAUUGAAUUACAUUGCCUUGUUGACUGUUAUUAAUCUUUAAAAUUUUGGGAUAAUUUCCUACCAAACAAACAUCUUUAUUAUGACUUAUAGAAAAAUGAAUAUUUCCUACCAAACAAACAUCUUUAUUAUGACUUAUAGAAAAAUGAAUAAUGCUUAUCAAUAAUCUUUAGUUCUUCUAGUCUCUAGAUGAUUGAAAUGUUUCUCCCUAUCCCUGGGUACCCACCCAGCUAUGCCCCUUUGUGGAAAAAGGCCAAGGGAAAGUCUUUCUCCUUGGCUGAAAUGCCUCCAGCAAGCAGAUGGGUAAGUGGCCCAGUGUAGGUGGGGUCCACUUUCUACUCCUGAGGAGGAGUUGCCUCUCACAGACAGGACACAUCCCCUCCUGCUGGAGAGGAACGGGGCAACAGCCUUCUAGACAGAAGAACUCUGUUUCUAUGAUUUUAUUUUCCACUGUGCUCCACUCCAGAAGAACUAAGGUGACUUGUUAGUUAAUAUGAUUCUCAAAAACCCUCUGUGACAGUUUUCUUAACCAUUUUUCUCCCUCUAAUGAGAACAUGCUUUCCUGAGACCUAGAAUGGCAUACAAUUAUUUCACUGUGUAAUCUCAAAUUAGUGGGAUGUUAUUUACAAGAUGAUUUUACUAAACUGACAAUUGUUAUUUCUAAC